rnacentral:lncRNA from 10 species
CCCCCUCCCCGGGCACGCGGCGAGGGAGGCGGCCGGCGGCCGGCAGCGCCCGCGCGGGAUCGAUGACUCGGCUGGCGGGCACGGUCACCUGGGUGAGGGGCAGCGGAAGGGGCGGCGGAGCACCGAUCUCAUGGAUGGGCUCCGAGGGGCUUGCGGGAGGGGGGCGCCAGUGUUCGGGGCCGUUUUGGCGGCUAUGCAGGAUUGGCAGGAGCUGCGAUGCUCACACUUGCCUCGCCGACCGCCAUUUCACAUCCAGCAGAGGAGGCGGGGGCAGCCGCUGAGACGGUUUUUCACAAGGUGACCAUGCUUUGGGAUUUUCAUAGUUUGAGUAAUUCCUAUGGGCUCUACCACCCAGCGAGUUAAAGAAGACAAGAUUCCACCCCCAGGGGGUUGUGGUUCUGGGAAUGUGAGCAGCUUGUUUUCAGGAGAUCUGCAUCUUGAUCUGGCCUGCUAUUAGGAUCUGUGGUGGUGGUGCCUGUCUGGUUUUAGUUGUUUCUUUUAUCUUACACAGAUUUUUGUAAGUUAUUUGCAUAUAAAGGUUUUUGAAAAGUGAAUGUUUUAUGGGGGCAUCUUGCUUAUACAAAGAAAAAUUAAAACUGUUUUAAAAUAAUCACUCGUGUUACACUUGUCUAUUCUAAAAUAAAUGAAAGUAUUAAUGUUGUUGUCUGGAAGGAAAAUGAAGACCAGGAAAAUAGCUAUGCUCUUAAUGUUUUAAAAUAAGGUAAUAUUAUUCUCUGUUUGAAUGGAGGCUUCUAAGGAAUUACCACAGUCUCACACACAAUCGACUUAAAUGCAUUCUUUAUCUUUAAAAGGAAGCAGAAUAGGAUCAUUGAGUAAAUCACAUGUGUUCACAGUCUUGUCUGGUGUAAUCGUAUACUACACAAACACAUUAUUCUGUAGUCAGGAGGGGAAGGGGACAUUUGAAGCAGGACUUGCCCUUGAGGAGGCCUUUUUCUGUUUAAAGUAUAGUGCAGUGAAAGACCACACAGUAGAAGAUAACAAAAUAUCUUCCAUGCCACCCCCACUUUUUCAUUUUCUCAUUCUCCUUUGUUCUCUAAGGACAUCUGUUGAAAUGAUUAUUCUGUAAAACUCAUAGGUACCUAGCAGAAGCCAUAUCAUAUUUCAUUUAUUAUUUUGUCUACUUAAUUAUUGUUUUCUUUUAUAUCAUGCAAUUGUGGGUUUUAAAAAUAUUCUGUUUAUAAAAGAUAUGAAAGUAUGUUAUAGAAAAUUUAUUAGUUAACUGUAGAUAUCUAAAGAGUAAAAGUUUCAACUCUGAAUUUAAUAAAAUUAUAUCUUAGGAAGCCCAGCAGACUUUUAUUAAGCUACGUCUUAAAAAGAUAAAUAUACUAAAAAGAGAUACUUAAAAAGAUGAAUUUUCCUUUCUAUAUUAAUUACAAUGGAUUUUUAGAUAAUAUGGAAAUAUAUAAAAGUAGUCAGUGUUUAGACAUUUGAAAAAUUAAUGGGAAUAUAUAUUUUGCUGUAUGGUUCUGAAAGUACUAAUUGGUAAUUGAAUCAUAAAAUAUCAGAGUUGAGAUUAAAGAGCUAAAAUUAAAUAAUAUCUUCAGAGACUUAACAGAGAUCUUUCAUUUGUGCCAAAUUUAGUAAGAUUUGCCUCAAUUCAGUUUUACUUAUGGUGUAUAUUGAUUCUUUAAAAUGUCACGUGUAUGGUGGCUCAUGCCUGUAAUCCCAGCACUUUGGGAGGCCAAGGCGGGCAGAUCAUGAGGUCAGGAGAUAUAGACCAUCCUGCCUAACAUGGUGAAACCCUGUCUCUACUAAAAAUACAAAAAAAGGCCCGGCACAGUGGCUCAUGCCUGUAAUCCCAGCACUUUGGGAGGCCGAGGUGGGUGGAUCACCUGAGGUCAGGAGUUUGAGACCAGCCUGGCCAACAUGGCGAAACCCCAUCUCUACUAAAAAUACAAAAAUUAGCCAGACAUGGUGGCAAGCACCUAUAAUCCCAGCUACUUGGGAGGCUGAGGCGGGAGAAUCACUUGAACCUGGAAGGUGGUGGUUGCAGUGAGCCAAGAUUGUGCCACUGCACUCCAGCCUGGGCGACAGAGCGAGACUCCAUCUCAAAAAAAAAAAAAAAAAGUCACAUGUAACCAUUUGAAAGGCAUUCUUAAUUGUGAACAAUAGUUAUGUGAGAUUUUGGAAGAUCCAAUAUAGAUGCAUUAUUUCAAAUGUUUUCAACAUUUUGAUAGUUGGUUUGCUGUCUAUAUUGUGGAUGCAAUUCAAAAUUCAAGAUUUUUCUUUUUAUUAGAGGUUCUUUAUUUACAUUGCCACCCAAUUUCAGCCUAAGUUGAUCUUUUGUGGAUUCAUGGAAUUUAUGUUUGAAGAGUUUUAAAAAAUUUUUUUAAUGAAAAACUGUUAACAUAUACAGAAAUAAAGCAAAUAACAUGAACCUCCAAGUUUUGUUUGAGUCUUUAGUAAUAUGUUAGUACAGGUACUGUGAUUGUUGAUGCAACAGAUGUUCAGGAACUCAAAAAAUGCUUGUUGCUUAAUGUGCACUUGAAAUAAUUUGUCAGAGACUAGGAUUGCAACCCUUGCUUUUUUUAGCUUUCCAUUUUCUUGGUAGAUCUUCCUCCAUCCCUUUAUUUUGAGCCUAUGUGUGUCUCUGCAUGUGAGAUGGGUCUCCUGAAUACAGCACACUGAUGGGUCUUGACUCUUUAUUCAAUUUGCUAGUCUGUGUCUUUUAAUUGGGGCAUUUAGCCCAUUUACAUUUAAGGUUAAUAUUGUUAUGUUUGAAUUGGAUCCUGUCAUUAUGAUGUUAGCUGGUUAUUUUGCCCAUUAAUUGAUGCAGU